GUCGCUCGGUUUGACCCUGCCGAGCCGCCGUGUCUCCCCCCCAAAAUGGCGGAGCCCCUAGACAGGGUGCGCAUCUCGGCCGCUGAGCUGAGAGCCGGAGCGACGAGUUUCGUGGAGCGCGAAGCGGGCACCAGAGGCAUACGGGAAGCAAGAAAAGGUCCUCCACUGGGGAGGAAGCGACCCGACCUCCAGCGCUACCGACCAGGCCAGCGACAGUGUCACAAAGCCGGGGAAACGCAAAAUCUGCAGUGCGGGGGUGGAACGGGAGAGGGAGGAGGAACCGAGCCCUCGGACCGGGUAGCGGACGCUGAUACGGAUGGAAAUGUACAGCCAGAAAAUGUGGACAGCCCCUGCUGUAGUACCGACCUUGUGAAUCUUGGCAACAAGUACAACCACUGUGCUGUAAGUACCCCAAAACCCAGUAGUGGGGUGGUGGGCUUUGACCAAGUGGACCUUGGGAAGCACUCCACUACUGGUUCUCCUGGUGCUGACAGAAAGCCACAAGACAGCAGGCAUCCUGCGCAAAAACACACUCCUGCAAUUGCUGGUGUGCCAGACUCCUCUAGACUGAUGCGCAGGGUACGCAAGCCUGACCGCCAAAUAUACAAACCAGGAUGUUUGAGAGACCAGCACCUGCCACCAGAGUCUCGAUUCGCCAGUCAGGAGCACGGGAACAUGGGCCCUGCUAAGAGGGCUGCGAGAAAUGGUUUGGCUGUGGAGAACCUCACUGCCAAAGUGGAGAAGCUGAACAUGGCACAUGGGGAGGAGGUGGUGGUGGGGCAAGGAGGAGGCAAGGCUUGAAAGAGAGCAGCUGAGAUGUUGGAGACCCUGUACAGGGGACAGGUGUUGAAUUCUGGUCCAAGUCUCUGAGGGCUGGAGCCAGAAGGCUGAGCAGCUGACUCCACUCACUGGACCAGAAUCAGGUGACGCCUAUUUAGUGCUCAUCCUGAUCUCCUGAGUGCCGAGAGGCAAACCAGAAUCCUGUAACGGCCCAGUUGAAGACUGUUUUGCUUGUACUGCAUUUGUAGUGUCUAAGCUCCCACACUUCCUUGCGGUCUACUUCUUCUGGACAGAACCACUGUUCCAGUCGUACAGUGCCGCCACUGCACCAUACCACGGUCAAGGCUGAGCGGCAGAUGGCUUUCUGUUUUGGUCACCAUUCUUUUUGUCUGAUUGUAUUCAGUUUUCAUAGUACUGUACAGUGUUAAUGGAAGCUUAUGCAGUAUGAAUGUUGCAUCCAGGGCUUCGGCUUUCCGUCUUUUAAGGCGCCACUUCAUAAAACCCUUCUUAAAUAAGUUCAAUAUUUAUUAAUACUGUGUUUAAUUCAUAUUGAAUCUGCUUGGGUCCUGUUGGGAUUGUACUUGUUGCAUAGGUGUCCUCUCUGUAGGGUAAAGACUUUCUGGAUGGAGUAGAGUGAUGGAUGACCUGUUGGGGGAUAUGAUGCAAAGCACACUAUUCCAAAUAUUAUUCCACACGUUCAUAUUUCGUUUGUUUGCCCUAUAGCCCUGUAGUAUUUUGAAAAUAUUUUCUGAAGCACACUGAACGUGGAAGUGAUACGUAAUUUCCUCCUAUAGGUGGCACUGUAGUCUAGGGAGAAAAAAGUCCUUAAACUUGACUGGAUCACAAAAUAUAUUAUGCAUUCUUUUGACGGCACUUUAUGUAACUUUGCUUCAAUCCUAAUUUUCCGACAUUUAUAUCUUCAUUUGUUUUCAAUUUAUGUUGUGGAAUAGAGACAUCUGAAUGGAAGGCAUGUUUAUUGUUACGAUACAGUUAAAGAACCUUCUGAAAAGAACUCUCCAAAACGUAACUUGGAAAUUAUCUUAAUUGUAUGCUAGACCUUUGAGAGGCGUAAUCGGUCUGAAGUAUGAGAAUUGGGACAGUCGUGAACGUAGGUCCGGAUCUGUUAGAUAAGCAUUUGUGCAAGAAGUGUGAAUUAAGCUAGCGCUGAUUGUAGCUUCAUGUGGUGGAGUUUGCCCUAAGUGUGGGCUGUGAGUCUGUGUGGUGGCUGAAUACUUGUGACCAUAAAUAUUGUUUUCAGAGCUCAGUUUGCUUAUUUUUUGACCAGCUGGAGUUCACUUACACCUUGGUUCAAGUUCUUGUUUGUGUGUGUGCAUCUGUGUGAGUGGGUUCUGUUGAGCAAACCCUUCCAUGUGCUGGGUUUGAGCUGCACUGGCCAUGCUGCUGGUCUCCUUAACAUUUGGGGGGUACUGGACUGCAGCAUGGUCAUCAUCAAAACCCCUGCUGCCAGAGAACCAGACAGAAGAGAACAGGAAAGAACUAUGUAAACUGCUGCCAUUUUUUUCCUCUCCCUUGAAAUUGAGAGCAAAAUUUAGGUUUAUUUCUGAAUAUUUUAAAUCUGUUAAACCUUCUUGCCUCUCUGUUUCUACAUAAAUUGUACCAACUAUAAAAGCUAUUACAUUAGUGUUGGUCAGGUGUGCGACUUGCUGAAAUAUGUGGAAAUGUUAAGGUUUUCACAUGGAAGCCAGUUACUGCAAAGCCCUCCUGCUCACCUUUGUGAAGACAUUUUUCUGGCCACUGAGAUUUGAGCAAAUGUGCUGACGUGUUGUGACUGGUAUCGAUUUGGGGACGUCUGUGUGCUGGGGAGAACCAGUAUCCUGCUUGAGGAUCAUUGUGAAGUUUUCUGCUUUUGAGACGUUCUACAUGACUGUAACAUAGUCUUCAAGGCUUCUCUACACUGGUCUGUGUGGCAGUUGUCCUCGGGGUUAGACAGUAUGUAGCUGUUUAGGUAUAUGAAUCUUCAUUAAGGAAAGUGUUCACCGCUAAGUUUCUUUAUUUUUUCCCCACCUGUACCUUCGUCACACAUUUUAGAAAAAAGUCCUUAUCAGAAUGGUAACCCCUAAAAAGUAUUGGGAUACUCCUGUGCAGGAAACUCCUCUUUGUAAGUUUAGCCUUUUGUAGGUUUUUAAAUUCUUUAAAAGUGCAUUAUGUGUGUGCCUGUCUGGGCUGCCAAUAAUGCCUGUCUGGUGGCUGAAACAGAUUCAUUAUGUCGAGGGGCUUGCAACAAUGAACCACACUGCCCUUUACUGGGUGGACACUGUGGCAAGAGCUCCUCAGAUAGGAAGAAUCAGUUCCUCGUAUCCUGUUUUCCACCAAAGCUUUUCAGUCACACACACAGCUCGUGCACAUUUUGAACCAGUUUAUACAAGUGAUUGAUUGAUUGACUUUUGACAUUCAGGCUCAUCUUCGCUUUAUGGUACAACCCCAGCUUUUUCUCUGUGUCCCCUUUAGUCUUACAUAAACUUUUACCUUUUUUUUUUUUUUUUUUUUUUAGGUCAUGCAUUUAGUUUUGAAACCACAGGGCAACCUGCAGACAUUAGGCCAUCUUGUUUGUAAAGUGAGGAUAUAGAAAGGGGAAAGAAUGAGGGAUAAGAGGAUCCUAGGCAUGCAAAUACCUGGGACACGAGCUCUGUAGUGCCUCAGGGUUUGCAUCAAAUGAACUGUCAAGCCAUCUUGUCAAGAGUGUUGUGAAGAAAAAUUUUGAAAAUUGCCGACAGUGGCAGGUCUGACUCAGCUGGCCUGAUGUAAGUAAUGUGUUUAUUAUAUAGCAGUACUAUAGUUCAUUUCUCUGAAAAUUUUAUUGCGCAUGGCUUUUUUCACUCAUUGAAUAUCUUCAAGGUUCAGAAACUGAAUGGAAAAUGUACCAAUUAUAAGGCCAUAUGUGUAGUACCCUUGAACAAGGUACUUAUGGCUGAUUAUCAAAGCAUUCCUCUAGAGUUUAAGGUCCAUUAAAAAUGAAAUUUCUGCUUUAGGUGUUGUGAGAAAGAGGCUGGGUUGCUCUUUCCAGUAACUGGGGACAUAAAGGCUAAUGAGCUGUUGAGCAGCUUAGAGAAGUGGUGCUGCUGCUUUUUUAUCUGCUUUAUUGAAAACAAGUGCAGGAGCUCAGAGAAAGGUUUUCACGGGCACAAAAAGCACUGCAGAUCAUGAUUCUGCCUGGUCAAGUCAGUCAAAAGAUGGCUGUCAGCACGGAAGGAUGUCAUGAUGGUUCACAUUCAUGAAUGCGAAUGCUCAUUAACAGACAUUGAAGUUCAAAACAGUCAUUUCUCUUCUCUAAGUGCCAUUUGAGAUUUUGCUUAACGAAAACAUCCAGCACAGGGUACAAAACAUCUCCAAAGUCUUGCUGUGCGGUGAAAGACUGACAUGUCCUCUGAAAAAUGCCCUUCGUAACACACAGGUAAUGGCCUAAAAAUGGUGAAGCAAUGUCCUUCCGUAAGCUGCUGGAACAAUCUGGAUACACAAGACAUUUUCCUUGCAUCUCCCACCCUCUUGAGCUGCAAGCCAGCAGCUUCCUCUGCCCUUGUGAAAUGUUAAGCACCUUUAAUUGCUGUUGUAAAUCAUGUUUUUAUUUUGGUCUUGGGGUCCUGUUUGGUUUAUCUUGCAGCAUCGCAGGUGACGGAGAUGAAUGAGCCCCUACGUGGUUAAGGAACACAUUUGCCAGCCCGCUUGUCUUGGCAGGGUCUACGGAAACGCUCCUGUCACUAAUUAAUACAGGGCACGAUUUAUGGUCCACAGAGCGCUGGCUCUGGCCCCUCGCCAACUGGGCCUGCCCAUGACAUUGUUUUAAUGUGUGCUGACUGGGCCGGGGCCAAAGCCCUGUGCAUCACCGCUCGUGUAUGGGGCUGAUGUCUCCCUCUGUCACCACUGAGUCAGGAGGCCUGGGCCAAUGAAACACAAAUGAUUGGUCACAUGGUUGUCUGAAUCAGACAGCGGUCUUGCAAGACCCGUGACAUCUUGAGUGUGAUACCUAGCAAAAAGUUAUUUGAGUGCAAAAUGUUCCAAAUUGUCCUUCUAUUCAAAUGAGCCAUGUAUUUUUAAACUGCUUAUCCUGGUGAGGGUCACAGUGGCAACAUGUCAAGCAGGACACACCAUACUUCCCCUUCCCCUUUCCCAGCAGCAGGCUCCACUAUCUUCUGAGGGAUCCUCCUGUAUUCUCAAGUAGGCCUGGAGACGUAAUCUCUGCAGUGUGUUCUGGGUCUGCCACGUGGCCUCCUCAUAGUAAGCUGUGUUGUGUUGACCUCCUGCAGGAAGCAUUAUGACUAGGUGCUUGAAGGUCAAGCAGGGGCAGCUCAUAGCAUAGUGGCUGCUGCCUUCAGACCCAGCGGUUGAAGGUUUGAAUCCACCUUCAGCUGUAGUACCUUUGAGCAAGGUAUUGCCCCUAAAUUGCUCCAGUAAAGUUACCCAUCUCUUUAAACGGAUACAUAGUUGUAGGUGGCCUAACAUUGUAAGUCACUUUGGAGAAAAAUGUCAGCGAAAUGAAUAAAUGUAAAUGAAAUAUAAGGAAAUGAAGUUGCUCUUUAGUACCAGUAGGGGGCAGGCAUGUUCCUUUGACAGGGUAUUUGGUGUUUGUCAUUGCCGCUGAAGUCUUUUCUCUGGUUUUGGAUUUCAGAUUGUGCACAAGAACUCUGUUCAUGGGCAAAACUAAUAUCCCAAGUUCUUCACUUUUCGUUCACUUUGCAGUCCUGGUCAUGAAAACCAGCUGAAUUCCACUUAUACUCUUCAGCAGGUACUGUACAUUAGCCUAGAAGCAUUUGCACCAGGAGAGAGGUGCACUAUGUACACUCCUGGGCCUGCUGGUGAGCACAGCUCCACCCAGACACCCACCUCUCUGUGGAAUUGGGGUGCAGACCCUGCUGGGGGGGCUCUGCUCAUAGCAAUAAUUAUGCCUCGCUCACCUGUCACUGGAGCUCUUGUUCUGUUAAUGUGCCCCCUCCUCAUCCAGCUGGGCCAUGACCCUUGAACCUGUGGCUUUGUGUGCCUCAUUGCAGAGCGAGCGGGAAAUGAAACAGCCACAAGUUCAAGGAAGGGGCUUCACACACAGACUCUCAGCGGUACGCAUUGUGGGUGUGUGUCUUUUUUGCCAUUACAAAGAAAAAUCUGCUUUCUUUGUGUUCAGUCUGUUUGGGGGCUCGUUUGGAAGGUAAAAAGGCUGUGUAGGGUGUGUGUGUGUGUGUGUGUGUGUGUGUGUGUGUGUAUAAAGUGCCACGUAGGAAGGGGUUGAAUUAGCCAUCCGGAUGUCUGUUCCUUUUGAUGCCCAGUCUUCUCUGAGAAAUGCAGAAACUGCGGAGCAGUGAGGGUGUGGACGUUGAAUCACCGGAGCGGUUUCAUCCGUGGGCGGCACGGUGGUGCAGCGAGUAUCGCAUUACUUGGGUUC